AUACGGAGGAUCCAAGCGUUGUCCGGAUUUAUUGGGUUUAAAGGGUGCGUAGGCGGACUAUUAAGUCAGAGGUGAAAGUUUGCAGCUUAACUGUAAAAUUGCCUUUGAAACUGAUAGUCUUGAGUAUAGUUGAGGUGGGCGGAAUGUGUCAUGUAGCGGUGAAAUGCUUAGAUAUGAUACAGAACACCGAUUGCGAAGGCAGCUCACUAAACUAUAACUGACGCUGAGGCACGAAAGCGUGGGGAGCGAACAGGAUUAGAUACCCUAGUAGUCC
rnacentral:rRNA from 1 species